CCCGGCGCUCUCGCAGCUGCCAAUCAUGCUUCCUAGCCCAGCCCCUGCGAGCGCUUUGGCGACUUUCCGCUGCCCCUCACCGCCCUCCCGCCCCACUCAGGAGCGCCUCGCUCCAAGGAUUUACUCAGGAGUGACUAAGUGCACGUAGGUCACAAAGUAACACCAGAAAACGUCCACGUUUUCCCUGGUCCAUCAGAACAUCGGCCGCCUCCCCUCAGCUGUCUGCAGCCUGCCCUGCCCCUAAGUGCUUGAGAGAUGCGUUUUCAAAUGACACGUUGAGAUCCAGCAGUGAAUAGUCAAAUCUAGUGAGUCGGGGGCACAUUUCUUUCCCGAAUAAAAUAGUAACGAUACAUCCUGACUGGAUAAUAAACUAUGUGAUCAACGUACUUCCAGCUCUCAAAGAUAUGAUUCUGUACAGCCCUCUGGUCAGAUCUUCCGGCGACUCAUUCAAUGAAUUCCUUUACCUAAGAGGCCAGGGUUUGUGCCACGGUCUCCAGGGAAUAAAGUGGAGUCCACAUGAGCAGCUUGGACCACAUACAGCAGUAACGAGGUAUCUCUAUACUUCCUCGCUGUGGUGGUAUCAGAAGAGACCUAUUGGAAAUUCAGGACUGUCACUAUUGCCUAGAGUAAUGAAGCCACUACCACAUCCGUGGAGACCACGUGGGGAGGUGGAACUCCAACCUGUACUCAGAAAUAGUGAGAUGCUUCUCUCCUCCCUGCCUCUACCACACAGGUGUCAUUGGAUGUCAAGGGGGGAGCCCAGACCUCUUCUGGCAGUAACAAGGUGUUUGAAAGUCAUAAUAUGAUGAAGGAUGAUACAAUCAUGUGAUUUUUUAAUUGAUGGUUGUGGUAAAAGUAACCUCCUCCACCGAAAAAGGAGGCCUAGAAGUCACUGGCAGCUUUCUUCUUCACAUUCUGACAUGAGGGAAGCCAGCUAAAGGAUGAAGAAAAUACACAGAGGAAGUAAAGCUAAGAGAAUUCCAGGAAGAUGAGACCUGAUGACAUUGUGGACCUUUGGGUCAAACUUAAAAGCUGCCCUAAUUCUGAACUUUUCAACUUCAUGAGUCAAUACAUUUCCUUAUAGUAAUCAAUCUGAAUAGGGGUUUCUAUAACAUGCAUAUGAAGGGUCCUUACUGAUAAAAUCUGAAUUACUUUUUAAAUUAAAAUCUAUUUUAUAUAAAAUGCCACACUGCAAAUAAGGUAAAUAUAGGCUCCAGUCUGCAUUAUCUAGCAAUAAUAACAGCAUUGAUUACCUAUGUUCCUUUUUACUUACAUUCUUAAAGCAUGACAAUUGUAUAUCUAAUAUUACAUUGCUUGCUACAAAACAUUUAAUAAUUUUAGGAAGUGGUAAAUGUGAAUAUUAAAGAAAAAAGAAAAUUUUGUCUCUGUAUAAUUAAUUUGCUUUUAGUUGUCAGUUAAAUCAUGAUUUGAGUAUAAAUACAAAUCCUUUGUAUUAAAAGGAAACAAGACCAAUGUUUCAUUGCAGCUAAUGCUAGGACUCUGAAAUCAUGACGAUCCUUGUGUAAACUUAAAUCAUAUAGCCCUACGAGCUCAGUUUCCUUAAAUGAAAUGUUUUGUGAAAUGAUCUAUGUGUGCAUAUUAUAUAUAUAUAUAUAUAUAUUUAUGAUUAUGAGAUUUAUGUUUUCUUUAUGAAGACACAAGUCUGAGCUUUUAAGAUCUUGACCUUACGUUUGUUGAAUGAAUAAAUAUGGCAAAGAUUUUUGGUAAGAUUUCAUAAGGAGUUCAAAAAGGACUCAAAGUCAAUUUGUUAUAUGGAAAAUCUGCUUUUGGAAAAAUUUAUUUAUUGAAGGUGAAAAAGUGGAGAUGCAACUUAAAUAUUCUGAUUCAAAAAUUGAAACCAUAUGCCAUAUAUCGUUAACAGGCAAGGAAUCGAGAGAAAAGUACAGAAACUCAUUCUUUGACUAUGAUGUUGAAAGUGAGUUCAAUAGCCAUGAGACUUCUGUUGAAGUUACUGUCACAAUGCAUUGAAAUGAAUGGACUCUUCUAUUUGUCUGUAUAAAAAUUUGCCUUGGUUCUUGAGUUUUACAACCUUUUAAAUCAAAACUUAACUGUCAGGCAAUAAUAUGACUACUUGGUCUUGAUCAUAAGUUGUAGUUUAAUGAUUUUAAUGUGGCCUGUCUACAUUUAUCUGCUUUUAUCUCUCUCACUCUUCCGCUGGACUUUGCCCUUUUGAUGAAGAAUUAAUGUUUGAACAAGUCUUCAAAAGGAAUGGUGGAGCAAAAGAGAGGAAGGGGAGUGGCAGGAAGUGAGAAUAGAGUGAUGACCAAGGCUGAUGAAGAAGUUUAUUCUUUCAAGAAAGCUCUAGUGUGCCUCUGAAGGAACCUAAGCAAAGGAGAGCUCCUUGGCUUUCAGGUUCAAUUAUUACCUUAGUGGAGCUUGGUGCAGUUCUAAAAGGCAUUUUUCUUCCUCCCUAAACUUUUUCCUAUUCCCUUGUGACCUAGUUUACUCACUCUUUGCUGUAUCCAGUCCUUACCACCAAUCAUGGGUGCUCCAUGCUUUCUCACAGGCCAGGGAUCUCCAAAAAUAUUUGGUUGUAUGCCUUUAUCAGUUUAUAAAAUGUGACAAUACAAACUUUUUUCCCUUAUAUAAAAUAAGACCUUUAGGGCCAAUAUGGUGGCUCCAUGGUGUCGUAAGCUCCUUAUACCUUUCCGUCCCCAUAUUUCUCAUAUGGCUUCCCCUUUCAAAGUGAUAAGAUGGCAACCAGAGCCCUGAUCAUCAUAUCUGGGCCAAAGAAGGGAAAAAAGGAAGGAUCCUAUUUCUGUGUUCUCCCCUUUUAAGGGGACUUCUCAGAGAUUCCAUCCAAUAACUUCUAAUUGUUUAGAAUCUAAUCACUUGACCAUAACACAGCUGUAAAGAAGACUGGGGAAUAUAAUCUUUUAGCUGAAGAUUAUCCAGCUAUCACAGAAGAAGAGAAUGCUGUUUCUGCCAUUUUGCUUCAGAAUCUUUUUUCUAUUAAUUGUCAAGCAGUCACAAUGCUUUGCUAAAAUAUCUUAAGAAUAUGUUUUUUCCUCUAUGCACAUCUUUCCUUUUAACAAUCUCCAAAAUGUAUUUCUUCAAGGCAUUGGUACAGCACAAAGGAAAUUUAAUGACUAAUCUUAGUAGAGAUGAGUUAACACAUCUGUAUUUUUAUUCAGCUUGUAAAUCAUCUUCCUACACCGUGCGAUUUGCUCUAACAUUUGGCAAUGUCUUCUGUGAAUUUCUGAGUAAGUUACUGACAAAUGCUUUUUAAUCUGUUGCUACCUUGUACCUUGAUGUUAUUUCAGCCAUUUUUACUGUGCCACAAAAAGACACAUUUAUACGUAUUGCACGUCAUUUUGUAAAGUAUUCAACUGAACAUAUUAUGAUUUAAUCUUCACUAGAUUUCCUGGAUGUGUGGCUUUUAGUUAUCUAUUUAAUCAUGAUGUCUUCAUGCUAAUAUUACCUAUAAAUACAAGCUGCUUCUCUUUAGGAAAUUUUAGUAUCUUGAUGCAGACCUGAACUUCAUGUUAUUGACAUGACACAGACUUGUGCCUUAAACUAUUCAUAUCAGUGCUGUUUAAUAGCGAUUUGAGGUAAACUACGGUUGUAAUUUAAAAAUUUCUACAGCCACAUUAAAAAAUAUAGAAAGAAACAUAAGAUUAAUUUCAAUAAUAUCUAACCUAAUAUACACAAAACAUUAAAAUUUCAAAAGAAAAAUCACUAAAAAAUUAUUAGAGAUAUUUUAAUUUUCUUGUACUGUCUUUGAUUUUCAUUUAUAGUUUGUAUUUACAGUACAUGUUAAUUCAGACACGUCACAUUUGAAGUACUCAGUAGCUACCUGUGAUGAAUGGCAAUUGUAUCGGUCAGCACAGGCCCAGAUCUUACAUC